UCACCAUCCACCAUGGCUUGGAUUCUUCUGCUCUUCACCAUCCUAUCCUCCUUUGGGGCCAGUAUUCAGCAGCUGCAGAGCCUGAAGAAUUCAGAAUCUGUAGCUGUAGGUGGCACCGUCACCAUGUCUUGUAGCUAUAGUGGUGGGACCAUCUCUGACAACAAUUACCUUCGAUGGCUCCAGCAGAAGCCCAGAGUGCUAAGGCUCUUAGUUGCUACCAGCAACACCAGGCCAUCGAAUGUCCCAGUCCGUUUCACUGGGACCACCUCCGGGAACACCAUGUCCCUUACCAUCGCUGGAACUUUGGGUGAAGACGAGGCUACUUAUUACUGUGCUGUCUGGACUGGGAGCGGGUACACAGUGCUUGAUUCAGAUAGAGAAGUGAAACAAAAACUCUCUUUAGUAGACUGGGGCUGUCACAAUGUAGAGGAGAUCUUUAAUGGAUGUCUUGUGUGA